rnacentral:rRNA from 1 species
GACGAACGCUGGCGGCGUGCUUAACACAUGCAAGUCGAACGGUGAAGCGCCUUCCUUUUUGGUGGGUGUGGAUGAGUGGCGAACGGGUGAGUAACACGUGAGUAACCUGCCCCCUUCUUCUGGAUAACCGCAUGAAAGUGUGGCUAAUACGGGAUAUUCUGGGUCUGUCGCAUGAUGGGUCUGGGAAAGAUAUUGAUUCGGUGGGGGAUGGGCUCGCGGCCUAUCAGCUUGUUGGUGGGGUGAUGGCCUACCAAGGCGGUGACGGGUAGCCGGCCUGAGAGGGUGGACGGUCACACUGGGACUGAGACACGGCCCAGACUCCUACGGGCGGCAGCAGUGGGGAAUAUUGCACAAUGGGCGCAAGCCUGAUGCAGCGACGCCGCGUGAGGGAUGGAGGCCUUCGGGUUGUGAACCUCUUUCGCCAGUGAAGCAGGCCUGCCUCGUUUGUGGGUGGGUUGACGGUAGCUGGAUAAGAAGCGCCGGCUAACUACGUG